UACGAGGGGUGCAAGCGUUGCUCGGAAUUAUUGGGCGUAAAGGGCAAGUAGGUGGUCUCAUUUGUCUGGGGGUGAAAGCCUUGAGCUUAACUCAAGAAGUGCCCCCGGGAAACGGUGAGACUCGAGUAUUUGGGAGAGGGUCGUGGAAUUCCCGGUGAGCGGUGAAAUGCGUAGAGAUCGGGGAGGAACACCAGAGGCGAAGGCGGCGA
rnacentral:rRNA from 1 species